AGCUCAGCUUUGUUCAGAAAACAUGUACUGAGAAGCUGUUUUAAGCUCCACAUUCACAUAGACCAUGCUUUGCAGAAGCUCGGAGUCCAUAGGGGCUGCAGACCCACAAAGGGAUCACCAUGGUACAAUGUGCAGAAAAAAGCAGAGGCAACUCUCCUCCAAGACACUAUGGCCAACUGAAGCCCAAAGCCAGCUGAGAGGGGAGUCUGGGAACUGCAGGGUGCAUCAUCAACCCAGUGAAAUGCAGACCAGAGCAGAGGAAGGCCAGGAUCUGCACAGCUCAUUCGCUUUUUAUGGACUUACUUUCCAAGGAAGAAGGUGUGAAACUGUAUAACCCCAUCUCUGAUAAAGAUUGAUGAAGGGAGAGAGAGGAGGAGAGAGGCAAGUGUUCCAGGCAGAGAAAUAGAGACACGACCCUGAACUGGAGCAUUGACUUCCUUCUCUCCCUUUCUCCUUCCUUCCCUCCCUUCCCCUCUUCCCCACUCCAGUUCUUCCUCCCUUCUGUCCUACAUUCCUCCCUUCCUGUCUUUUUCUCUACACCCUGGAGUCUGGAGUCUGUGUGAUGUGUUUCUGUUGUUGUUAUUUUCUUCUGACUCUUCCGGUUUUCCUCCAUGCCUUCCUUAAAUUACUCCCAGGCCCUGCCUCGUGUCUUAUGGGUCCCUCCCUGAGAAGUAUAUUGGCUGGGGAAAAGCUCUGAGGGAGCAGAGCAUGCAUUAGACACAGAAGGGUUGGCUUCUCCCAUCUUCUUGUCCUUUGACUUUUGCAUAUGUGGCCCUCCCCAUCUCAUCAGCUGCUAGCCUGGAGCUCCGGAGGGUGGAGUCUCCUCCAUGCCUUGCAGGGUGCUGCGUGCAGCAGGUGCUCAAGGCUGCGGAGUCAGGAUUUGAAGCUGAGCUCCAGUAUGAGACACUGGGGAAGGUCUUAAUUCCCAAAUUCCAUUUUCCCAUCAGAAUAAUGGAAUGGGGUUUUCAAAUAUCAACUCUGCACAGUUUUUAUGGGAAGAACCCAUUGUUAUUGCAGUCCAUGAGGCAUGUGCCUGGAGCAAUGUAAGUUUUGAUUUUUCCUUUUUUUUAAUACAUGAUUCCUGCCUGGAUUACUGAAGCAGCCUCCUAAGGGCCUCCCUGCUUUGACUCUCAGCUCCCACUGUGUCUCUCAACAUACCAGCCAGAGUGAUCUUUUCACACCGCAAGUUGGGAUCUCCAUGCCGCAUCUUGCUCCCAGCCUCACCAUGGCACGCGUUCCACCUGGGAUGAACACUAAACUCAUUCCAGAAGCCUUCAAAGCUCUGUGUGGUCCAGUUUUUUCCAUUUUGACUCUUCCCUUUGUGUCUUGUUUACUCUUCCCCAAUGUGGCUCACCCCUGCCUUUGGGCCUUCCCAUUUACUGUCUAGAGACUCUGCCCCACUGCCCAUAUGGUGAACCCCUCAUGACCUGCAAGCCCUGAGGCCUCCUCUGACACCUCCAUUAAAAUUGCAGCUCUGCCAGGUGUGAUGGCUCACACCUGUAAUCCCAGCACUUUGGGAGGCCGAGGUGGGUGGAUCACGAGGACAAGAGAUUGAGACCAUCCUGGCCAACAUGGUGAAACCCCAUCUCUACUAAAAAUACAAAAAUUAGCUGGGCGUGGUGGUGCAUGCCUGUAGUCCCAGCUACUCGGGAGGCUGAGGCAGGAGAAUAGCUUGAACUCGGGAGGCGGAGGUUGCAGUGAGCUGAGCUCUCGCCAUUGCGGUCUAGCCUGGCGACAGAGCAAGACUCAAAAGAAAAAAAAAAAAAGAAAGAAAAUUUCAGCAAACCCCCUACACCUUGCCCAAUACCCUGGCAUCUCUAAUCCGGCUUCCUUCAUUGGUGAAAUGUAGCCUUCCUUAUCUGCCCUAGCAUGUGGCAUCUUCUCACAUCCUAGAUCAUUCUCACAGGGCUAGGUAUGAUUCCCUAGAAUCCAUUUCAGCUGGUGAGAGACCGAGUGGUGGUUCUACUCUUCCCAGCAGGUGGCAGGGCCCUCUUGGGGCUUCUGUGUCUUCAUCACCCCUGUGAAAGGGCUGGUCUCUAUGAGCUUCAACUUCCCUUUGGAGUUUAAAUUCCAUUGUGCUGCCCAUACACACAUUUUGAGAAGCCAUUUGCUCUACAACUGGGGAGAACAUGUAUUUCUUUUCCCACAUCUGUCCCUAUUGUCAGGCUGGAAGGUGAGAGUCUAAAUCCACAAGUGAAGGAAUGCAACAUGGGAAGUGUCUCAAAGAACAUCUCCAGAGGGACAGGAUGCUCAGUGGAGUGGGCUGACCUCUCCCCGCUGGUGCCCAGGGCUCUCUCUUCACUGCGGUUCCUAAUGUGGCUGCUUCAUUGACUGUGUGGAGGGAGAACAGGAUGCUGAGAUGACCAGAGGGCGAGUCAAACUUGCAAACCUCUAAAGGAACGUCCAAGCUCCCCAGCCAUUCAUCCAUUCAUCUGCCUAUUCAAUGAUUUGUUCAUUCUUUCCUCCAGAUUAUAGUCCCUUAGACACCAAACGUCUUUAAAGGUAUCCCUGGUAUUUCUUAUGGCUCCUUGAUAUGGUUUUGCUGUGUCCCCACCCAAAUCUCAUCUUGAAUUUCCACAUGUUGUGAGAGGGACCCAGUGGGAGGUAACUGAAUCAUGGGUGCAAGUCUUUCUCAUGCUGUUCUCAUGAUAGUGAAUAAGUCUCAUGAGAUCUGAUGGUAAUAUAAGGGGGAGUUUCCCUGCUCAAGCUCUCUCUUUGCCUGCUGCCAUCCAUGUAAGAUGUGACUUGCUUCUCCUUGUGUUCUGCCAUGAUUGUGAGGCCUCCUCAGCCAUAUGGAGCUGUGAGUCCAAUUAAACCUCUUUCUUUUGUAAAUUUCCCAGUCUCAAAUAUGUCUUUAUCAGCAGCAUGAAAACGGACUAAUACACUCCUCUUAAACCCUUAGCUAUGUAAUUUUUGUUGUCCCCUCUCUGAGCCACCAUUUAUGCCGUUUGCUUAACUUCUGU
rnacentral:lncRNA from 1 species